AAGAGGAGCGUUGUCACAGUGA
rnacentral:miRNA from 1 species